GCACAAUCACUUGCCUUUUAAUUAAAGGAUAGAAUGAAAGGAUCAACGAAAUUUUCACUUUAUUAUUCACACCUAAUAUAACUUAUACCUCAGGUGAAGAUACCUGGAUAAAUCUGAAAGACAAGAAGACCCUGUAGAGUUUAAGUUUAACCUCACCUCUAUAUAGCUAAAAACUUUUGUUGGGGCGACAAAGGGCACAAAAACCACCCUGUAAACUAAAGACACUUAAUUCACACCAAUUGACCCUUAAUUAAUAAAGAUCAAAAAAAUAAACUACCUUAGGGAUAACAGGCUAAUCUUCUUAAAGAGUUCAUAUCGACAAGAAGGAUUGGCACCUCGAUGUUGGCUUAGAGAACCCUUUUUCUGAAAAAGGAAAAAAGGAAAGUUUGUUCAACUAAUAACCCUCU
rnacentral:rRNA from 1 species